rnacentral:rRNA from 1 species
GAGUUUGAUCUUGGCUCAGGACGAACGCUGGCGGCGUGCUUAACACAUGCAAGUCGAGCGAUGAAGUCCCUUCGGGGACGGAUUAGCGGCGGACGGGUGAGUAACACGUGGGCAACCUGCCUCAAAGAGGGGGAUAGCCUCCCGAAAGGGAGAUUAAUACCGCAUAACAUUAGAGUGUCACAUGAUGCUUUAAUCAAAGGAGUAAUCCGCUUUGAGAUGGGCCCGCGGCGCAUUAGCUAGUUGGUGAGGUAACGGCUCACCAAGGCAACGAUGCGUAGCCGACCUGAGAGGGUGAUCGGCCACAUUGGAACUGAGACACGGUCCAGACUCCUACGGGAGGCAGCAGUGGGGAAUACUGCACAAUGGGGGAAACCCUGAUGCAGCAACGCCGCGUGAGUGAUGAAGGUCUUCGGAUUGUAAAGCUCUGUCUUUUGGGACGAUAAUGACGGUACCAAAGGAGGAAGCCACGGCUAACUACGUGCCAGCCGCCGCCGUAAU